rnacentral:rRNA from 1 species
GCUGCAUGGCUGUCGUCAGCUCGUGUCGUGAGGAUGUUGGGUUAAGUCCCGUAACGAGCGCAACCCUUGUCCUUAGUUACCAGCACGUUAUGGUGGGCACUCUAAGGAGACUGCCGGUGACAAACCGGAGGAAGGUGGGGAUGACGUCAAGUCAUCAUGGCCCUUACGGCCUGGGCUACACACGUGCUACAAUGGUCGGUACAAAGGGUUGCCAAGCCGCGAGGUGGAGCUAAUCCCAUAAAACCGAUCGUAGUCCGGAUCGCAGUCUGCAACUCGACUGCGUGAAGUCGGAAUCGCUAGUAAUCGUGAAUCAGAAUGUCACGGUGAAUACGUUCCCGGGCCUU